GGAGGGGUGGCUGAGCGGUCGAAAGCACUGGUCUUGAAAACCAGAGAAGGGCGACCUUCCCAGGGUUCGAAUCCCUGCCCCUCCGCCA
rnacentral:tRNA from 1 species